UUAAUUUAAUUACAGGUCUAUCGAUAGACUAUGUGGAGAAUAAGCUUUAUUGGAUCAGUUCCGGAAAUAGAACCAUAAACCGAUGCAACCUGGAUGGUGGUAAUUUAGAAGUAAUAGAGUCAAUGAAAGAAGAAUUAAAAAAAGCUACAGCCUUAACCAUCAUGGGAUUAAUGGGCUGAACUCCAUGGAUCUAUGUUCCUUGGAAAUGGAAACUGUGUCUGUUUUGUUGACCACUGUGAAACUCAAAAACUAUCCCAUAUAGGAGGCCAUGCAUGUAUGAGGUUCACUGUCCUGAGGGCCAUUCCAUCAAUGCAGUGAUAUGGAUUACAAGCAUUCAUGCCUUUCUGAAAGAGGACUUGACAAAAUGCAUGGAAGAUAGCAGUAGCAACAUGAAGAAUCUACAUGAAACUCAAGAAAAGUAGCAACACCAUGCACAGAUGGAAAUCACAAGCUGCAGAAGCUGCGGAACUGGCUACCAAAAAGCCGGCAGUACUUCUGAUGGAAAAGUGGUGUCCCUGCCUAGGUGACCGAGAAAACAGUAACAACAGCUGACUCCAUAGAGUAGAUGGAGGGGACUUGAGCAGCACCUCACCCUCACAUGGCUCCUGCCAGGACAGAGAGGCAUUACCCUCAGUGAGGUAAGUCUCCAAGCUGCCUCAGACACUGUUCCACCAAAACAAGGAGUUAGUACAAGGGCCUGGGUGUUACCUGGAU